CGAUAACUUCCCCUACGGUUCAGGAUAGCCUUGGGAAACUGAGGGUAAAACUGGAUAUGUGAUUGAUACUGGAAUGUUCUUUCAUUGAAAAGCAAUGCCAUAGGAUAGGUCGGCGGCUGAUUAGGUAGUUGGUGAGGUAACGGCUCACCAAGCCUUGGAUCAGUAGGGGCCAUGAAAGUGGGAGCCCCGAGAGGGGUACUGAGACACUUACCCCAGCCCUACGGGGUGCAGCAGGCGCGAAACCUCUACAAUGUACGAAAGUGCGAUAGGGGAAUCCCAAGUGCUUAUAGUUUACUAUAGGCUUUUGCUAAGCGUAAAUAACUUGGCGAAUAAGUGGUGGGCAAGACCGGUGCCAG
rnacentral:rRNA from 1 species